GACGAACGCUGGCGGCGUGCCUAAUACAUGCAAGUUGAGCGAUGAAGAUUGGUGCUUGCACCUAUUUGAAGAGCAGCGAACGGGUGAGUAACGCGUGGGGAAUCUGCCUUUGAGCGGGGGACAACAUUUGGAAACGAAUGCUAAUACCGCAUAACAACUUUAAACAUAAGUUUUAAGUUUGAAAGAUGCAAUUGCAUCACUCAAAGAUGAUCCCGCGUUGUAUUAGCUAGUUGGUGAGGUAAAGGCUCACCAAGGCGAUGAUACAUAGCCGACCUGAGAGGGUGAUCGGCCACAUUGGGACUGAGACACGGCCCAAACUCCUACGGGAGGCAGCAGUAGGGAAUCUUCGGCAAUGGACGAAAGGCUGACCGAGCAACGCCGCGUGAGGGAAGAAGGUUUUCGGAUCGUAAAACUCUGUUGGUAGAGAAGAACGUUGGUGAGAGUGGAAAGCUCAUCAAGUGACGGUAACUACCCAGAAAGGGACGGCUAACUACGUG
rnacentral:rRNA from 1 species